AAAUAUUCAACACAUUAUAAAUAGAGCCAGUAAAUAGAACUAAAGUUGCUCUUUUGAACUUUGAAGAUCAAAGGUUGUCCCUUUCACCCGCAAGUUUGAAUUCAGUCAACUCUACUUCUGCUGUGGCUUUCCGGAUUUCAAGUUCUUGGAUUCGUAAAAGGCAUUGAACUUUCAGCAGAUGAAUGUCGUUUUCGUUACCUUCCAUCAAUUUUGAUAUUCUUCCCUCACGGUCUUCUUCAUCUCAAAGAGCUCUCUGUUCUCAGCUGAGAGAGCGGAAGAGCACACGUCCGAAC